UACGUAGGUGGCAAGCGUUGUCCGGAUUUACUGGGCGUAAAGAGCGCGCAGGCGGUCGUUUAAGUCGAAUGUGAAAGCCCCCCGGCUCAACUGGGGAGGGUCAUUCGAUACUGAUCGACUUGAAGGCAGGAGAGAGAAGUGGAAUUCCCGGUGUAGUGGUGAAAUGCGUAGAUAUCGGGAGGAACACCAGUGGCGAAGGCGACUUCUUGGCCUGUUCUUGACGCUGAGGCGCGAAAGCGUGGGGAGCAAACAGG
rnacentral:rRNA from 1 species